rnacentral:rRNA from 1 species
AUACGGAGGGAGCUAGCGUUGUUCGGAAUUACUGGGCGUAAAGAGAACGUAGGCGGCUAUCCAAGUCAGGGGUGAAAUCCCGGGGCUCAACCCCGGAACUGCCCUUGAAACUAGGUAGCUAGAAUUCUGGAGAGGUUAGUGGAAUUCCGAGUGUAGAGGUGAAAUUCGUAGAUAUUCGGAAGAACACCAGUGGCGAAGGCGACUGACUGGACAGAUAUUGACGCUGAGGUUCGAAAGCGUGGGGAGCAAACAGGAUUAGAUACCCUGGUAGUCCACGCCGUAAACGAUGUCUACUAGCCGUUGGAAGACUUGAUCUUUUAGUGGCGCAGUUAACGCAAUAAGUAGACCGCCUGGGGAGUACGGCCGCAAGGUUAAACUCAAAUGAAUUGACGGGGGCCCGCACAAGCGGUGGAGCAUGUGGUUUAAUUCGAUGCAACGCGAAGAACCUUACCUACUCUUGACAUACUAG